GCUGGUGUAGCUCAGUCGGUAGAGCACUUCAUUGGUAAUGAAGAGGUUCAUGAGUUCGAUUCUCAUCACCAGCUCCA
rnacentral:tRNA from 1 species